rnacentral:tRNA from 1 species
GGAGAGGUGGCAGAGUUGGUCGAAUGCGGCAGACUCGAAAUCUGUUAAAGUGUCAAAGCUUUCGUGGGUUCGAAUCCCACCCUCUCCG